GACGAACGCUGGCGGCGUGCUUAACACAUGCAAGUCGAACGGUGAACCUCUUCGGAGGGGAUCAGUGGCGAACGGGUGAGUAACACGUGGGCAACCUGCCCCCGGCUCUGGGAUAACUCCAAGAAAUUGGGGCUAAUACCGGAUGUUCACCGCUUCCCGCAUGGGUGGUGGUGGAAAGGGUUUCCGGCUGGGGAUGGGCCCGCGGCCUAUCAGCUUGUUGGUGGGGUAGUGGCCUACCAAGGCGAUGACGGGUAGCCGGCCUGAGAGGGUGACCGGCCACACUGGGACUGAGACACGGCCCAGACUCCUACGGGAGGCAGCAGUGGGGAAUAUUGCGCAAUGGGCGGAAGCCUGACGCAGCGACGCCGCGUGGGGGAUGACGGCCUUCGGGUUGUAAACCUCUUUCAGCAGGGACGAAGCGCAAGUGACGGUACCUGCAGAAGAAGCACCGGCCAACUACGUG
rnacentral:rRNA from 1 species